GACGAACCGAGCGAACGUUGUUCGGAAUCACUGGGCUUAAAGGGCGCGUAGGCGGGCUGCCAAGUCUGGGGUGAAAUCCCACGGCUCAACCGUGGAACUGCCUCGGAUACUGGCGGCCUCGAGGGGGGUAGGGGCGUGCGGAACUGUGGGUGGAGCGGUGAAAUGCGUUGAUAUCCACAGGAACUCCGGUGGCGAAGGCGGCACGCUGGACCUCUUCUGACGCUGAGGCGCGAAAGCCAGGGGAGCAAACGGG
rnacentral:rRNA from 1 species